UGAAUAUCUUACCCAAUUUUGCAUUCUUCAUUUACUUUCUUGCUGAAAGACUCUAACCAGGAGAGCAAGUGAUGGCGCAACCAACUGAAAUACAAGGAAAUUCGAAUCAAGCAGAACCACCGACAGUGAAAGAAAAGAGAAAAAAUAAUCAGUAUGGAAAGGAUUUUUGUGCUCACUCUGCCUCCUGCAUUUAUUGAAGAUGUUCGAGUACGGCGUUGGAUCAGUUCAUUCUCUAAUCAGAGGCGGUUCGGAUACUUCAUCUCAAUACAGCAUAGAAGAAUACGUUGAGCGGGUUGCAGAAGUUGGGCAUGGGACUAAGGGCAGGCCUCUAGCGUCAUUGACUCUGAAAUAAGGUUGCAAUAUAUGAUCGCAUGGGUUUAUCAUUUAAUCGCAUUAAACAUAGUAAUUUACACUUUUAUUUGGCAAUA